rnacentral:rRNA from 1 species
UAAGGAAUAUUGGUCAAUGGGAGAAAUCCUGAACCAGCAACGCCGCGUGAAGGACGAAGGGCUUUUAGCUUGUAAACAUCUUUUUUGAGGGGAAAAAUAUACGAUUACUUCGUGUUGAUUGUACCUUGAGAAUAAGCCCCGGCUAACUACGUGCCAGCAGCCGCGGUAAUACGUAGGGGGCAAGCGUUGUCCGGAUUUACUGGGUGUAAAGGGUGCUCAGGUGGAUUUGUUAGUCGGAGGUGAAACUCCGGAGCUUAACUCCGGAACUGCCUCCGAAACAGCAAGUCUUGAGUUUGGUAGAGGAUGAUGGAAUAUCUGGUGUAGCAGUGAAAUGCGUAGAUAUCAGAUAGAACACCAAUGGCGAAGGCAGUCAUCUGGGCCAUAACUGACACUAAAGCACGAAAUGCGUGGGGAUCAAACAGGAUUAGAUACC